rnacentral:tRNA from 1 species
GCACCCAUAGCUCAAUGGCAGAGCAUCCGGCUCUUAACCGGCAGGUUGGAGGUUCGAGUCCUCCUGGGUGCA